rnacentral:tRNA from 1 species
AGUAAUAUAAUCUAAAAAAGAUGAUAAACUGUAAAUUUAUUUAUGAAUUCCUUCUGUUACUC